rnacentral:rRNA from 1 species
ACGAACGCUGGCGGCGUGCUUAACACAUGCAAGUCGAACGGAAAGGCCCUGCUUUUGUGGGGUGCUCGCGUGGCGAACGGGUGAGUAACACGUGAGUAACCUGCCCUUGACUUUGGGAUAACUUCAGGAAACUGGGGCUAAUACCGGAUAUGAGCUCCUGCUGCAUGGUGGGGGUUGGAAAGUUUCGGCGGUUGGGGAUGGACUCGCGGCUUAUCAGCUUGUUGGUGGGGUAGUGGCUUACCAAGGCUUUGACGGGUAGCCGGCCUGAGAGGGUGACCGGCCACAUUGGGACUGAGAUACGGACCAGAAUCCUACGGGAGGCAGCAGUGGGGAAUAUUGCACAAUGGGCGGAAGCCUGAUGCAGCAACGCCGCGUGCGGGAUGACGGCCUUCGGGUUGUAAACCGCUUUCGCCUGUGACGAAGCGUGAGUGACGGUAAUGGGUAAAGAAGCACCGGCUAACUACGUG